rnacentral:RNase_P_RNA from 1 species
GGAGCCGGGCAGCCGCGUCAUUCCGCUGGAAUGCCGAGGAAAGUCCGGGCUCCGCGAAACAAGGGUGGCGGGUAACGCCCGCCGUGGGCAACCACAGGGAAAGUGCCACAGAGAGCAUACCGCCGAUGGCCCACGCUGCUUGUCAGUCUGGGGGCACAGGCAAGGGUGAAAGGGUGCGGCAAGAGCGCACCGGGGGGCCGGCAACGGUUCCCGUCACGGCAAACCCCACCCGGAGCAAGACCGCAUAGGGGUCUCGCGCCGCCCGAUCUUCGGAUUUGGGGGGGCAGGAGCGUUUCGCUCCGAGAGACCCGGGUUGGUCGCUGGAACGCCGGAGCAAUCCGGCGUCUAGAUGAAUGGCUGCCCCCGCGGCGCUGAUGUGCAAGCAUAUCGGCUGCGGGACAGAACCCGGCUUACAGGCUCCC